GAUCAACGCUGGCGGCGUGCCUCAGACAUGCAAGUCGAACGAUUAAGACUUCCUUCGGGAAGUGUAUAAAGUGGCGCACGGGUGAGUAACACGUAAGUAAUCUACCUUCGAGUGGGGAAUAACAUCGGGAAACCGAUGCUAAUACCGCAUAAUGCAGCGGCAUCGCAAGAUGACAGUUGUUAAAGGAGCAAUUCGCUUGAAGAGGAGCUUGCGGCAGAUUAGCUAGUUGGUAAGGUAAUGGCUUACCAAGGCUACGAUCUGUAUCCGGUCUAAGAGGACGGUCGGACACACUGACACUGAACAACGGGUCAGACUCCUACGGGAGGCAGCAGUCGGGAAUUUUGGGCAAUGGGCGAAAGCCUGACCCAGCAACGCCGCGUGAGGGAUGAAGUAUUUCGGUAUGUAAACCUCGAAAGAAUGGGAAGAAUAAAUGACGGUACCAUUUAUAAGCUCCGGCUAACUACGUGCCAGCCGCCGCGGUAACAC
rnacentral:rRNA from 1 species